CCUACGGGUGGCAGCAGUGGGGAAUAUUGGUCAAUGGCCGUAAGGCUGAACCAGCCAAGUCGCGUGAAGGAAGAAGGAUCUAUGGUUUGUAAACUUCUUUUAUAGGGGAAUAAAGGUAUCCACGUGUGGAUAUUUGCAUGUACCCUAUGAAUAAGCAUCGGCUAACUCCGUGCCAGCAGCCGCGGUAAUACGGAGGAUGCGAGCGUUAUCCGGAUUUAUUGGGUUUAAAGGGUGCGUAGGUUGUUUUUUAAGUCAGCGGUGAAAGUUUGUGGCUCAACCAUAAAAUUGCCGUUGAAACUGGAAGACUUGAGUGUGUUUGAGGUAGGCGGAAUGCGUGGUGUAGCGGCGAAAUGCAUAGAUAUAACGCAGAACUCCGAUUGCGAAGGCAGCUCACUGGACUGCAACUGACACUGAUGCUCGAAAGUGUGGGUAUCAAACAGGAUUAGAUACCCUAGUAGUC
rnacentral:rRNA from 1 species